UACGUAGGGGGCAAGCGUUGUCCGGAAUCAUUGGGCGUAAAGAGCGUGUAGGCGGCCCGGUAAGUCCGCUGUGAAAGUCCAGGGCUCAACCCUGGGAUGCCGGUGGAUACUGUCGGGCUCGAGUCCGGAAGAGGAGUGUGGAAUUCCUGGUGUAGCGGUGAAAUGCGCAGAUAUCAGGAGGAACACCAAUGGCGAAGGCAGCACUCUGGGACGUGACUGACGCUGAGACGCGAAAGCGUGGGGAGCAGACAGG
rnacentral:rRNA from 1 species